rnacentral:rRNA from 1 species
AGAGUUUGAUCAUGGCUCAGGACGAACGCUGGCGGCGUGCCUAAUACAUGCAAGUCGAGCGGAGCUUUCAAGGUGCUUGCACCUUGGGGGUUCAGCGGCGGACGGGUGAGUAACACGUAGGCAACCUGCCUGCAAGACCGGGAUAACAUUCGGAAACGGAUGCUAAGACCGGAUACGCGGUUUUCUGGCAUCAGGGAACCGGGAAAGACGGAGCAAUCUGUCGCUUGCAGAUGGGCCUGCGGCGCAUUAGCUGGUUGGGGGGGUAACGGCCCACCAAGGCGACGAUGCGUAGCCGACCUGAGAGGGUGAUCGGCCACACUGGGACUGAGACACGGCCCAGACUCCUACGGGAGGCAGCAGUAGGGAAUCUUCCGCAAUGGACGCAAGUCUGACGGAGCAACGCCGCGUGAGUGAGGAAGGCCUUCGGGUCGUAAAGCUCUGUUGCCAGGGAAGAACAGAGGGGAGAGUAACUGCUCCCCUUGUGACGGUACCUGAGAAGAAAGCCCCGGCUAACUACGUGCCAGCAGCCGCGGUAAUACGUAGGGGGCAAGCGUUGUCCGGAAUUAUUGGGCGUAAAGCGCGCGCAGGCGGCUUUGUAAGUCUGGUGUUUAAACCCGGGGCUCAACCUCGGGUCGCACGGGAAACUGCAAGGCUUGAGUGCAGAAGAGGAAAGUGGAAUUCCACGUGUAGCGGUGAAAUGCGUAGA